UACCUUUGCAAACGUAAAUAUGGAAAUACCAUAUUAUAUACAUAAAAAUCAUUAAAUAAUAUUAGCAUG
rnacentral:ncRNA from 1 species